GACGAACGCUGGCGGCGUGCCUAACACAUGUAAGUCGAACGGGACUGGGGGGGCAACUCUCCAGUUCAGUGGCAGACGGGUGCGUAACACGUGAGAAACUUGUCCAUCGGUGGGGGAUAGCCGGCCCAACGGCCGGUUAAUACCGCGUACGAUCAUUUAGGGGCAUCCCUGAAUGAUGAAAGCCUUCGGGCGCCGGCGGAGAGUCUCGCGGCCUAUCAGCUAGUUGGCGGGGUAACGGCCCACCAAGGCGACGACGGGUAGCUGGUCUGAGAGGAUGGCCAGCCACAUUGGGACUGAGACACGGCCCAGACUCCUACGGGAGGCAGCAGUGGGGAAUCUUGCGCAAUGGCCGCAAGGCUGACGCAGCGACGCCGCGUGUGGGAUGACGGCCUUCGGGUUAUAAACCACUGUCGGGAGGAACGAAUACUCGGCUUGCCGAGGGUGACGGUACCUCCAAAGGAAGUACCGGCUAACUCCGUGC
rnacentral:rRNA from 1 species